UACAUGUGGUGCAAGCGUUGUUCGGAAUUACUGGGCAUAAAGGGUGCGUAGGCGGUGUCGUCAGUCUGGGGUGAAAUCCUGCGGCCCAACCGUGGGACUGCCUCGGAUACUGCGAUGCUUGAGUGCGUGAGGGGUGAUCGGAACGCGUGGUGUAGCGGUGAAAUGCGUAGAUAUCACGCGGAAGGCCAACGGCGAAGGCAGACCACUGGCGCGCAACUGACGCUGAGUGCACGAAAGCGUGGGGAGCAAACAGG
rnacentral:rRNA from 1 species